CAGGCACAUCAUAUCCAUAACACCUGUGCACUUGUCGGAUGGCUUAGUGAAGACCGCAAGGUUGAAUCUAUCCAUCUACUUUACAUAACAAUUCUGUAACAAAUGUAGUCUUAUUAUAACAUAAUAAAACUUUCAACAACGGAUCUCUUGGCUCUCGCAUCGAUGAAGAACGCAGCGAAAUGCGAUAAGUAAUGUGAAUUGCAGAAUUCAGUGAAUCAUCGAAUCUUUGAACGCACCUUGCGCUCCUUGGUAUUCCGAGGAGCAUGCCUGUUUGAGUGUCAUGAAAACCCUCAACCCUAGAUUGGUUAAAACCUUUCUUUGGUUUGGAUUUGGACGUUUGCCGAUGAUAAGUCGGCUCGUCUUAAAAGUAAUAGCUGGAUCUGUCUCGCGACAUGGUUUGACUUGGCGUAAUAAGUAUUUCGCUAAGGACAUCUUCGGAUGGCCGCGUUGCAGGACUAAAGACCGCUUUCUAAUCCAUUGAUCUUCGGAUUAAUACUCUUGACAUCUGGCCUCAAAUCAGGUAGGACUACCCGCUGAACUUAAGCAUAUCAAUAAGCGGAGGAA
rnacentral:rRNA from 1 species